UACAGAGGUCCCAAGCGUUGUUCGGAUUCACUGGGCGUAAAGGGUGCGUAGGCGGCCGGGUAAGUCUGAUGUGAAAUCCCGCAGCUCAACUGCGGAACUGCAUCGGAUACUCUCCGGCUAGAGGAAUGGAGGGGAGACUGGAAUUCUCGGUGUAGCAGUGAAAUGCGUAGAUAUCGAGAGGAACACCAGUGGCGAAGGCGGCCAACUGGCCCGAUACUGACGCUGAGGUGCGAAAGCGUGGGGAGCAAACAGG
rnacentral:rRNA from 1 species